rnacentral:rRNA from 1 species
UGGGUUAAGUCCGUAACGAGCGCAACCCUGUCCUUAGUUACCAGCACGUUAUGGUGGGCACUCUAAGGAGACUGCCGGUGACAAACCGGAGGAAGGUGGGGAUGACGUCAAGUCAUCAUGGCCCUUACGGCCUGGGCUACACACGUGCUACAAUGGUCGGUACAAAGGGUUGCCAAGCCGCGAGGUGGAGCUAAUCCCAUAAAACCGAUCGUAGUCCGGAUCGCAGUCUGCAACUCGACUGCGUGAAGUCGGAAUCGCUAGUAAUCGUGAAUCAGAAUGUCACGGUGAAUACGUUCCCGGGCCUU